GUCCCCUACGGACGCAGCAGUGGGGAAUAUUGCACAAUGGGCGCAAGCCUGAUGCAGCGACGCCGCGUGCGGGAUGGAGGCCUUCGGGUUGUAAACCGCUUUUGUUCAAGGGCAAGGCACGGUCUUUGGCCGUGUUGGGUGGAUUGUUCGAAUAAGCACCGGCUAACUACGUGCCAGCAGCCGCGGUAAUACGUAGGGUGCAAGCGUUAUCCGGAUUUAUUGGGCGUAAAGGGCUCGUAGGCGGUUCGUCGCGUCCGGUGUGAAAGUCCAUCGCUUAACGGUGGAUCCGCGCCGGGUACGGGCGG
rnacentral:rRNA from 1 species